rnacentral:rRNA from 1 species
GACGAACGCUGGCGGCGUGCUUAACACAUGCAAGUCGAGCGGUAAGGCCCUUUCGGGGGUACACGAGCGGCGAACGGGUGAGUAACACGUGGGUGACCUGCCCUCAGCUCUGGGAUAAGCCUGGGAAACUGGGUCUAAUACUGGAUAUGACUCCACGGUGCAUGUCGUGGGGUGGAAAGCCUUGUGCGGCUGAGGAUGGGCCCGCGGCCUAUCAGCUUGUUGGUGGGGGAUGGCCUACCAAGGCGACGACGGGUAGCCGGCCUGAGAGGGCGACCGGCCACACUGGGACUGAGACACGGCCAGACUCUACGGGAGGCAGCAGUGGGGAAUCUUGCGCAAUGGGCGAAAAGCCUGACGCAGCGACGCCGCGUGAGGGAUGACGG